rnacentral:rRNA from 1 species
UGAGGAAUAUUGCUCAAUGGCCGCAAGGCUGAAGCAGCAACGCCGCGUGAGGGAUGAAGGAUCUAUGGUCUGUAAACCUCUGUAGAGAAGGAAAAAUAACCCAUUAUAUGGGCUUGAUAGUACUUCUAGAGUAAGCCCCGGCUAACUACGUGCCAGCAGCCGCGGUAAUACGUAGGGGGCGAGCGUUGUCCGGAAUCACUGGGUGUAAAGCGCGCGCAGGUGGGAUAGUAAGUCUUUUGUAAAAGUGCGGGGCUCAACCCCGUAAAGCGAUCGAUACUGCUAUUCUUGAGUGCAGGAGAGGAAAGCGGAAUUCCCAGUGUAGCGGUGAAAUGCGUAGAUAUCAGGAGGAACACCGGUGGCGAAGGCGACUUUCUGGCCCGAUACUGACGCUCAGGCGCGAAAGCGUGGGGAGCAAACA